rnacentral:rRNA from 1 species
GAUGAACGCUAGCGGCAGGCCUAACACAUGCAAGUCGAGGGGUAGAAGGAGCUUGCUCCUUUGAGACCGGCGCACGGGUGCGUAACGCGUAUGCAAUCUACCUUGUACAGGGGAAUAGCCCAGAGAAAUUUGGAUUAAUGCCCCAUAGUAUAUAACCUUCGCAUGUUGGUUAUAUUAAAGUUCCAACGGUACAAGAUGAGCAUGCGUCCCAUUAGUUAGUUGGUAAGGUAACGGCUUACCAAGACGAUGAUGGGUAGGGGUCCUGAGAGGGAGAUCCCCCACACUGGUACUGAGACACGGACCAGACUCCUACGGGAGGCAGCAGUGAGGAAUAUUGGUCAAUGGUCGCAAGACUGAACCAGCCAUGCCGCGUGCAGGAAGACGGUCCUAUGGAUUGUAAACUGCUUUUAUACAGGAAGAAACCCCCCCACGUGUGGGAGCUUGACGGUACUGUAGGAAUAAGGAUCGGCUAACUCCGUG